CUUUGCAGGCUCCUCCUGAGGCCGGGGCGCCGGGCCUGAGCUCUCAGGCCGUCCUGGACCAACUGAAGAAGCAGUUCCCGAGGUCCCCUCCUCACUUGCGGGCGCGGCUGGACAGCCUUUACUACUUGAUCCAGAAGGUUCGGCAGGAUCUGCAGGAACACCACAGGCAGACAGAACAUUUUCGGCGGCUCCUGGAGAGAUGCCGCCUGCCCCAGGGCUUCCAGCCG